rnacentral:tRNA from 3 species
GCCCCUGUGGCGGAAUUGGUAGACGCGGUAGAUUCAAAAUCUGCUGUCCGUACGGGCGUGCUGGUUCGAGUCCGGCCAGGGGCACCA